GAAGAAAUUAAGCCCAGAUAAAACUUGAAAAUGCACCUUAAAAAAAUAUAUACAUAUACUAUAUGUAUAUAGUACUUCUGAAAUGUAGUUCUGUUUGAUUUUGAUGGAA